GUGUAAUUAGCUCAAUGGUUAGAGGCAUCACUCAUGAAUGCUGAGUAUGUGAGUUCAACUCUCACAGUACACG
rnacentral:tRNA from 1 species